CCUCGCCCAUAAGUUGAAGCUGUUGAAUGACCUCUUUUAGGUGGUCAUCCGCGGACAAAGGAUUGAUUUGUUCCCGGACGUGCUUCAUAAACUGUUGCCAAGGAAUCACCGGAUAUUGCGACAAAGACUUUCUCCAAUCGGCUCACUAAUGGCGUGUUUGAGCGUUUUCAUGUCUUGAGAGUUGCUCACAUUGGCAUCCAAAACAAACGUCCGAGGAUGGAGAUCGAAAACGUUACCGAAUUCCGUCAAUAUCUGUUUGAGCACGUGAUCAGCGUCCUUGGAAGUGUGCUCUCCUACGGCGUUUUUGGAACAAGACUUCACAUCUGCAUGUGUGGCCACCAAAAUGAUCCGAGCGGGCUUGUUUGACUUCCCUUGGUCACCUAUAAAGGUGAAUGACAAAUUUGCAGAAUAGUAAAAUGAUAUUAUCAUUGAUGUUCUCAAACUUUUGCAAAUAAGAUUUAUUUACAUCCUGGA